CUACGGGAGGCAGCAGUCGGGAAUUUUGGGCAAUGGGCGAAAGCCUGACCCAGCAACGCCGCGUGAAGGAUGAAGUAUUUCGGUAUGUAAACUUCGAAAGAAUGGGAAGAAUAAAUGACGGUACCAUUUAUAAGCUCCGGCUAACUACGUGCCAGCAGCCGCGGUAAUACGUAGAGAGCAAGCGUUGUUCGGAUUUACUGGGCGUAAAGGGCGCGUAGGCGGCGUGUUAAGUCAGCUGUGAAAUCUCCGAGCUUAACUCGGAACGGCCAGCUGAUACUGAUGUGCUAGAGUGCAGAAGGGGCAAUCGGAGUUCUGGGUGUAGCGGUGAAAUGCGUAGAUAUCAAGAGGAACACCUGAGGUGAAGACGGGUUGCUGGGCUGACACUGACGCUGAGGCGCGAAAGCCAGGGGAGCAAACGGGAUUAGAAACCCGAGUAGUCC
rnacentral:rRNA from 1 species